UACGUAGGGGGCAAGCGUUGUCCGGAUUUAUUGGGCGUAAAGAGCGUGUAGGCGGCCAAACAGGUCAGCUGUGAAAACUCGAGGCUCAACCUCGAGACGUCGGUUGAAACCAUCUGGCUAGAGUCCGGAAGAGGAGAGUGGAAUUCCUGGUGUAGCGGUGAAAUGCGCAGAUAUCAGGAAGAACACCCGUGGCGAAGGCGGCUCUCUGGGACGGUACUGACGCUGAGACGCGAAAGCGUGGGGAGCGAACAGG
rnacentral:rRNA from 1 species